ensembl:lncRNA
AUGUGCACACACACACACAGGGACAGGAGGAGCCACGUGACCAUCUGUGCGAUCACGUUCCGAGGGACAGAAGCAAGUGCAAGUGUGAACACAGGCUUCCUACGCUUCGCACCCACAGCACCCAGAUCCCUGUUGCUGGGAACUACUGCCCUCUCCCUACAGCAGUCCAGAUUGGAAUGGCCCCCUAGAGAUGACAAGGUUGGGCUAAUAGCUAGUCCUGUCUGCAUUGUGCCUGGCUACUCAAGUCCCUGACCCAAGCCCAGCAUGGAAAUCUUAGCCUGCCUAUGAAACAUGUUUGCACGGGGUGAACCCUUUCCCAACAAACGUAAGUGUUGCUCCAGCCCCACUCCCAGCCACAAGAAACUCACUACCUUCCAAAGUGCUCCAUUUCAUGUUCAAACAGCCCCGGCUGUUUGAAUGCCCCCAUACGACCGCUAUCUAUUUCUCUGUAACAUCUGCCCACAAUUCCCGUCUCUGCAGACCCAUUUGACUUCCCUUCCCUACAACCUCUCCCUCCCCAAAUUAUUCACUGGUGGCUUCCAAGUUACCACCACGGCUCUAGAGAUGCUUAGAGCAUUAUCUGCUUGGAGCCUCACGAAAUCUGUAUUUUAUCUUUCAUAACAUGGAGAGAGAAACCGCACCAGUCAUACAGGGCUAUGGAGCCGGGCCUCGGUGUUUCUAGGUUAGGGGGGUAGAUGCAGUGCUGAUAAGAGAUGGGGAAGGUUCUGCAAAUAUGUUGGUGACUGCCUGGAGCUUCCCAGAAGCUGAGCUCUGAGCAAAUGAAUGUUCCUACUUCAGAAUAGAUUUAUUUUAUUUUUAGAACAUGCCCUGUGGAAUCACAAGCUUGGAGGGACAUAGAAAAGCACAUGAACCUUCUUAAAUCACUGCAGACAUGUUAUGGGGGCAUGAGAGAGAAAGCUGCAAAGGGAGCGAAAUGUCAAAGAGUAGGGGAAUAAGAAAGGUGGAGCUAUUCGCCUGGUACCAGGGCCUUUAAGUAGAAUGUCUCUGCCCAGGUCAAGACCUCUAGUGCUACCCCUUCACCCAUGUGUUUGAGCUCCUGCAGGAUCCAGGCCUGUCUCCUCUCACCAUACAGGAUCUCAGUCACCUGAGUAGCACCAUGGCACAUCUGACCGGGCAAUACAUCAGCAAACUCCUGCCCCAUCAGUUCAUUAGGUUUGGAGACCGUCUUGGCUUCCAGGGGGGGGUUGAAGUGCAGUCCUCAGAAGAUCUCUGGAAUAUCAGCAUGAGUUAGGAAAUCAGACAGAUCUACACUAAAAAUUUUUUAAGUUUAUUUGUUUUGAGAGAGAGAGCAAUUGGGGUAGGGGCAGAGAGAGUGGGGAGAGAGAGAAUCCCAAGCAGGCUCUACACUAUUAGAGCAGAGCCUGAUGUGGGGCUGGAACUCACAAACUGUGAGAUCAUGACCUGAGCCAAAAUCAAGAGUCAGAUGCUCAACCAACUGAGCCACCCAGGCACCCCUAAACUAAAUUUUUUUUCCACUCAUUUCUCUAGGAAAAAUUGGACAAAUUACUUAACCUCCUUUAAUCUCAAAAUUUUCACCAGAAUGUAUAUUGAAGACCUGUUUGGAAGAUGAAAAGAAGUCAUAUUUGUAAGGUGAUAGCAAAUAUUUUCAUUAAUACUACACGGUAGGAUGGACAUUUCCUGGUCUAACCCCUCUUGCCUAUAUCUAUAGGUUUCUCCUUCGCUGUCUCCCAGAGUCAAAUGCUUACUAGAUCUCCAGUCAUAUGAGCAGGAUUACAGUCCUGCUUCAUUUUUUCCCACACCCACCUCCUGGUGGUUCAUUUUCCCUGCCUCCUACUGAAUCCAGAUUAAAACAUCAAAUGCCUGAGAGUUCAUGUAGAACUUGGGGGCCCACUCUUGCUUAGGAACCUUAGAUUGUACUUUACUCACCUGCAAAUGGGCUGGGCUCACAAUGACCCAAUGUGAUAUUGAGAAGAGAAAGAUGGAAAGUUUAAAGUAGCAAAAAGCCAGUGGUAAGGGAGUUAAAAUGUUUUCCUGCUGUUAGGAAUGCGCAUGCUGUUAAAUUUUAGGUCUCAGGAGGGAGGCAUCAUGCUACUUUACAGAAGAAAGGUGGGGAAAAACGGGUUCCCAAAACAAUUUAGAAUGUAACUGAACCUCUUGGGAAGUCAAAAACUGGAAAGAAGCUGAGAUACACAGGAAGGCAAGGAUGGUGUCCUUGUGGAGCACAGAGCUGAGAUUCAAGAUGAAGUAUCCACUGAGAAUCCAGGCUAGGGCUGUGGCCAUAACAUGGAAAGUAUCCUUGGAGAAGGGAACAGAGCAGGGAAUGGGCACUGUGCCUGAGCCUUGGAAAAAGAGGAUCUUUGUGCAUAAUUGAUUGGGCUCCAGGGCUGGAGAGGAAUUCUUGUACACACGGUUUCUCCCACGACUGCCUUUGUGAGUACUCACAUUUCCCUUUCUACACUGCUAUACACCUGUACCAUGAAGUAUGGGUCUUGACGUCUCCUCAUGACUUAGCCUGAUCUUUUCAUCCUGCCAAGACUGCACCAGGCUGAGAUGCCAAUGUCCUAGGCACCGGCCUGCCUGGAAGGUGGGCGAUGUGUAGCAGUCCAAUUGGGUCAGAGGGGCUGAGUGUCCAGAAUGACCACACCUGAAGUCAAGCCCCCACCACACACUCACUGAAUGACUUUGCAGCAAGUUCUUAGCAUCCACCAACCUCAGUUUCCUCAUUUGUAAAUGAGAAGGGGACCAUACCUAUGUUCAUAACAUUAGAGUAAACAAAUAAACAUCACAUAACACAGUCUUACA